rnacentral:rRNA from 1 species
GGAAUAUUGGACAAUGGGCGAAAGCCUGAUCCAGCCAUGCCGCGUGUGUGAAGAAGGUCUUCGGAUUGUAAAGCACUUUAAGUUGGGAGGAAGGGCAGUAACUUAAUACGUUGCUGUUUUGACGUUACCGACAGAAUAAGCACCGGCUAACUCUGUGCCAGCAGCCGCGGUAAUACAGAGGGUGCAAGCGUUAAUCGGAAUUACUGGGCGUAAAGCGCGCGUAGGUGGUUUGUUAAGUUGGAUGUGAAAUCCCCGGGCUCAACCUGGGAACUGCAUUCAAAACUGACAAGCUAGAGUAUGGUAGAGGGUGGUGGAAUUUCCUGUGUAGCGGUGAAAUGCGUAGAUAUAGGAAGGAACACCAGUGGCGAAGGCGACCACCUGGACUGAUACUGACACUGAGGUGCGAAAGCGUGGGGAGCAAACAGGAUUAGAUACCCCAG